rnacentral:rRNA from 1 species
GUAGGUGGCAAGCGUUGUCCGGAAUUAUUGGGCGUAAAGCGCGCGCAGGCGGUUCUUUAAGUCUGAUGUGAGAGCCCACGGCUCAACCGUGGAGGGUCAUUGGAAACUGGAGAACUUGAGUACAGAAGAGGAAAGCGGAAUUCCACGUGUAGCGGUGAAAUGCGUAGAGAUGUGGAGGAACACCAGUGGCGAAGGCGGCUUUCUGGUCUGUAACUGACGCUGAGGCGCGAAAGCGUGGGGAGCAAACAGGAUUAGAUACCCUGGUAGUCCACGCCGUAAACGAUGAGUGCUAAGUGUUAGGGGGGUUUCCGCCCCCCUUAGUGCUGCAGCUAACGCAUUAAGCACUCCGCCUGGGAGUACGGCCGCAAGGCUG